rnacentral:misc_RNA from 1 species
AAUUCUCAAAACCCUUUUCUUUGAAAAGGAUUUUUGGACUUGGAGGUUCAAUGCUUGCUUUUGGUUUUGAAAGUGAGCUCCUCUUAAAUGAAUUAGUGGGGUCUGCUUUGCUGGUCCUUAACGUGAUAAGGUGUUUCUACGUUUUGGAUUUGGCAUUGUCCUUUUAGACGUCCGCUCCCAACUGUCUUUUAUGGACGACGGAUGGUGUUUCAGUCGAUCGCCAUUUAUUUACACUGGCGGGAGGCUGGACCCACAAAAAAAAACCC